CUGCGGCAAUAUCGAUCAGGUGCUCAUUAUUGAGCCGAACAGGGAACCCCGUGGAAUUCGGGGACGGGCCCGCCGCUGUGAUCGGGGACGAAAGCCGCAAUAUGCCACUGGCCGAAAGGCCGGGAAGGUGCGGCCGGUAGGAUGAUCCGAGAGUCAGAAGACCUGCCUGAAACGAGAUGCGCGA
rnacentral:ncRNA from 2 species